rnacentral:rRNA from 1 species
UCUUCGGAGAGUACAUAAGUGGCGGACGGGUGAGUAAUAUGUAGAGAAUCUGCCCUACGAGAGGGGGACGAACAGAGGGAAACUUACUGCUAAUACCCCACUAUGAGCGUAGUUGAAAUGCUAUUCUUGAAAACUCCGGUGCUCUGGGAUGAGUCUGCAUCUGAUUAGCUAGUUGGGGGUGGUAAUGGACCACCAAGGCGACGAUCAGUAGCUGGUUUGAGAGGAUGAUCAGCCACAAUGGGACUGAGACACGGCCCAUACUCCUACGGGAGGCAGCAGUAGGGAAUUUUGCGCAAUGGGGGAAACCCUGACGCAGCAACGCCGCGUGACCGAUGAAGCCCUUCGGGGUGUAAAGGUCUGUCAGUGGGGACGAAACUUGACGGUACCCACAGAGGAAGCAUCGGCUAACUCCGUGCCAGCCGCCGC